rnacentral:lncRNA from 1 species
GGGGCCCCCAGGGAGCUGCCGGUGGAGCACAGGACCUUCGUGCACUGACACCUGGCAGAUGGAGGAUAACUUACCUUAAAAAAAAAAAAAAAAAAAAAGGCUCGUCCCUAAAUGUAGAUGAAAGCACAGGUGCACUUGUUCACACGGGGCGACCGAUGGUCAGAGGUAGAAUCUGGAAGGAUCUGGGUAGGGAUCCCAUAUUGCGUUGCUGGUUUCUUACCUGGGGUGCAGAGGCGCCGGCGUACCUGUAUGUCAGGUGCAGCGGGGGGACGGACCUGCCUGGGGGCUCGGGGGACUGGGCGAAGGAGCCGGGGAAAGGCUGAGAGCGAGCCAGCAGCGGCCUGCUUUAUGCUGAUGAUGCAAAACCUUGCUUGUCAACUCUCAACCCUCCCCCCCCCCCCCCCAGAUUUCCUGGUCUACGGUGGAAGCUGGAAAGAUGUUUUUAUUUACAGGCUCUGAGAAUGAGAAGCUGAGGAUGCCCGCCUCCUGGGACACCUCCCCAGCACCGCAAGACUGGCGCCCAUGCAGGAGCCAGCGUCCCCUUGUACCCUCAGAGCCUCCACGGGGACGAAGUUUUCAAGACUACAGCAAGAUUUCAUCUGGCAAUUCACAUGCUUCUCACCACUCCCCGAUCAGGUUCAGCGUAAGAGAGAAGAUGGAACAUCAUGAAGUCAUUCCCUCUUUUGUCUCCAGACAUGGUGUCAGAAGUGUCAUCCUGGAGAAAGAGAACACCGCACAUCAAAGUUGGUCCAUCACACCGGGCUUUCAAAGAAGCCAUAAACUGAGUUGCAAAGACUUUGGUUAAGCUAAGCCAAAGGUCAAAUAUCAUUUCUGAAAACACUGGAAUCAAAUAUUUGAUAGAUUUAGAAAAAUAUGUGUCCACAAAGCAAUAGGUACAACUGAUACUGUGACCAGUAAAUUUUUUAUUCUUUCAUGUGAUUAAGGAUAUGAGCAGUGGGAAAUGCACUGAACAAAUAGUUAGGAAACUAACUAAAGGCUGGAAUCCUCACUACUCCAAUAAUUUUAUGAUACUCUGGGUCUCAGUUAUAUUGGCCCAUAAAAUGUGGGAAGCACUGCCUAACUCCAGGAUAAUUAUGAUGCUAACAUGGAAAACAAAUGUAAAUAUAUUUUGCGAAUUUUAAAACAUUGUACAUAUAUUAAAAAUUGUUCAAGUUCUAUCAAUGCAUGUGAUUAGUGAAAAGUCACUAUUUUCAAUGGUACCUUUAUACUGGAUGAUACAGAGGAUAUAUGAAUCUCAUCCUUUAAUAAAUUUUCAAACUGAAAUAUGGAAAAAAUGUUUAACAAAUUUAACAGUUUGUGUCGGGAUUUAUUCUUUUAUUCAGCAGGGCACCUCUCUCCCCCCAGAUGACAAUUGCUCUCUGAUAUAUAUAUCAGGGGUAGGGGCUAUGCCAUUCCUUGAAAACUGUUGCCUUGGACAAGUUUAUUAAAAAGAAGAAGAAGUCCUGUCUCCACUGUCAUUCUUUGCCCUGAGGGAUUGGAGUGGAAGUAAGGAGACUGAUGUUGAUCCUGCCGCUGUCUUAGACUGCCUUCAUUUAGCCCAUAAGCCUUUUCUUUGGAAUCUUUUGUAUAAUCUUGUCCAUUCCUCUCAGGGCUGCUAGGGCUGGGGAUUUGAAGCUCAUGUCUUUCACAGCCCUGUUUUCAGUCCUUUCUAUUAGUGGUGGUGGCUUGAUCCAACUGAGUUGAAAGAAAAGUGUAAUAAAUGGGUAGUAAAUGGGUCCUCUACAAACAUGACAGAUUGCUAAUCAGUUCAGGAAUAUUUAGGGAUCUAGUAACUCCACAGACUCAUUUUUAUCAUCAAUUUAUUGAUGGGCUAUUGCAUUAUAUAUUAAAGAACUCUCACAUUAGGAACCUAUAAAAUAAUAUAGUCUACAUACCAGUCAAG